rnacentral:rRNA from 1 species
CCUACGUGAUGCCGCAGUGGGGCAUAUUGGGCAAUGGAGGCAACUCUGCCCCAGCAAUGCCGCGUGAGUGAUGAAGGUAAUUUUAUUGUCAAGCUCUUUUCUUUGGAACGAAUAAAUGACGGUACCAAAGGAAUCAGCCCCGGCUAACUACGUGCCAGCAGCCGCGGUAAUACGUAGGGGGCCAGCGUUGUUCGGAAUGCCGGGGUGUAAAGGGUGUGUAGGUGGUUUGAUAAGUUAGAUGUGUAAUACGCAUGGCUUAACUCGGGUGCUGCAUCUAAAACUGUUAGACUUGAGUACUGGAGAGGAUAGUGGAAUUGCUAGGGUAGCGGUGAAAUGCGUAGAUAUUAGGAGGAACAUCAGUGGCGAAGGCGACUAUCUGGACAGCAACUGACACUGAGGCACGAAAGCGUGGGGAGCAAACAGGAUUAGAUACCCGGGUAGUC